rnacentral:lncRNA from 1 species
CACACUACAUGCCAAAUAAGCAACAUAGGCAGUCUUUAUUCUCAUGGAGCUGCUAUUCCAGUGAGGGAAGGCAGAAAGAAAGCAGGUAGACAGGUAUUAAAAAUGAUGACAUUUCAAAUAGCUUUCAGAGUUAUCACAAAAAUAAAGAUGAGGAGUGGAAUAUGGGGAAAGAAUGACUGGAGGAGGCAGUGCUUUAAAUGUAAUGAUAGGAAAGUUACCCUUGAGGAGAUCUAUCUAAUCCAAAGCCUAAAAUAUGAAAAGCAGUUAGGCUGCUGAAAAUAUGAGAGAAACUGCUCUUAAGCAGAGUGUGAACACCCGGAGGCAGGAACACCCAGCGUAAACACCCAGAGGUGGAGUCAAGAUUGGAAAUGUGUGGGAGAGGAAGAAAACUAGGGCAUUUGAGGUCUAAUGAAACAGGCUGUAAGAAAGAGAUGAUGUAGAAGUAGUCAGGAGCUGGAUGGUGUAGAGUCCUGUGGACUAUGAUUUGAGAAAGUCCAUGCAUGGGAGCAGGACAAAGAGAAAUAAUCUGAUCAUCCCUAAGAGGUUUCAAGAAUGAGCAAUUGCGUAAAGCUGAGUCCUGGAAGGCUGCCUGUAGGGGGCAGUAUGUGGUCUGGCCUUAAGGACAAACGGAAUUUUCACCGGAGAAGACUGUGGCGGGGGCUUUUCAGGAGGAAUGAAUAGGAAGAGUACAGGAGGCUGUAUAGCAGCAGGUGGCUUUGUUUGGUUGGAAAACACUCCAAGUGAAAAGGCAUUGUGAAGAAUGGAAGAGCUACUGAGAAACCAGCCUAUGGAGUUUGGCUGUCUCUCCUAGUCACAAAUAAGGAGCUGUUACUGGUUUUUGUCAAAAGAACAGGAUGAUCACAUCUGUGCCUUAGGACACUUUAGAUGGGGCAGAACAGGUACAGGGGAUGUGGUGGGGGAAGAAAUGACUCGAUUUCAAACAAAUCAAAUAAAUUACUUUGAUGUUUAAAAAAAAAAAAUAAAAUUGUUUGUUUUUAUAGAAAUAGUGUUACUGGGUAAACAGGUAUGAAAAUCAUUGAACUGAGAUAUAAUGGGAAAUUACUUUCUACAAAGAUGGUACCAACCUAUAUUCUGACUAGCAGUGGUUUAAAGUGCUCUCAAGAGUACUUGAUAAUACAUUUAAUUUUUUUUUUGUACUUACAAUGGGCCAGUAACCAUUUCAGUCUCCAGAAAUAUGGUGGCAAACAUACAUCUUUGCUACUGUAGAGCUUAAAUUCUAAAUAGACAAGAGCAUUUCACAACUGGUAAGUGCUAUAAAGAAAAUUAGGGGAAGAAAGUGGAAAGUUAUUGCCAUCUGAGGCUAUAAGCACAUUAGAUAAAGUGACCAGGAAGAUUCCUUUGAGGAAGUGAUAUUUAAGCUGAGACCUGAAUAAUGAGAAGGAUCUACCCCAUGAAGACCAACGGGAAGAAUUUUUUU